AUUAAGAUAACAAGAAUAUUUGUGGAUAUUUGAGUAUUCUUUCAGAGUUAUUCAUCAACAUACUGUAUUUUAAAAUAUUUUUCUUAAAAACUUCUAUUUUUGGAAAGGUUGCAUUUUUUUAGAGAAAUAUUGUAGAUUUGGGUUUGUGGCUUAGAAAAUAAAAUAACAAGAAUAUUUUCGGAUAGUUGAUUAUUCUUUCAGAGAUUUUUAACAAUAGGUUGUAUUUUUAAAUAAUUUUCCUUAAAACUGCUAUUUUUAGAAAGUUUUCAUUUUUUAGAGAAAUAUUGUAGAUUUGGUUUUGUGGUUUAGAAAUUAAGAUAACAAGAAUAUUUAUGGAUAGUUGAUUAUUAUUUAAAAAUACAACCUAUUAAUGAAAAUUUCUGAAAAAAAUACCCAACUAUCCACAAAUAUUUACGUUAUCUUAAUUUCUAAACCACAAACCCAAAUCUAUAAUAUUUCUCUAUAAAAAUGCAAACUUUUCAAAAAUAGCAGUUUUUAAGAAAAUUAUUAAAAAAUACAACCAAAUGAUGAAUAAUUCUGAAAGGAUACUCGAACUUCCACAAAUACUCUUGUUAUCUUAAUUUCUAAACCAUAAACUCAAAUCUACAAUAUUUCUCUAAAAAAUGAAAACUUUCUAAAAAUAGUUGUUUUUAAGAAAAUUAUUUAAAAAUACAAAAUAUUGAUGAAAAUUUCUGGAAAAAUACUCAAUUAUCCACAAAUAAUCCUGUUAUCCUAAUUUCUAAACCACAAACCCAAAUCAAAAAAUUUUCUCUAAAAAAUGCAAACUUUCCAAAAAUAGAAGUUUUUAAGAAAAUUAUUUUAAAAUACAAUAUAUUGAUGAAUAACUCUGAAAGAAAACUCAACUAUCCACAAAUAUUCUUGUUAUCUUAUUUUCCAAACCACAAACUCAAAUCUACAAUAUUUCUCUAAAAAAUGGAAAUUUUCCAAAAUAACAGUUUUUAAGAAGAUCAUUUAAAAAUACAACAUAUUGAUGAAUAAUUCUGAAAGAAUACUCAAAUAUCCAUAAAUAUUCUUGUUAUCUUAUUUUCUAAACCACAAACCCAAAUCUACAAUAUUUUUCUAAAAAAUGAAAACUUUCUAAAAAUAGCAGUUUUAAAGAAAACUAUUUAAAAAUACAACCUAUUGUUGAAAAUCUCUGAAAGAAUAAUCAACUAUCCGAAAAUAUUCUUGUUAUCUUAAUUUCUAAACCACAAACCCAAAUCUACAAUAUUUCUCUAAAAAAAUGUAAACUUUCCAAAAAUAGAAGUUUUUAAGAAAAAUAUUUUAAAAUACAGUAUAUUGAUGAAUAACUUUGAAAGAAUACUCAAAUAUCCACAAAUAUUCUUGUUAUCUUAAUUUCAAAAUCACAUAUCGAAAUCUACAAUAUUUUUCUAAAAAACUUUCCAAAAAUAGCAGUGUUUACGAAAAUUAUUUAAAAAUACAACAUAUUGAUGAAAAAUUUUCAAUGGAUACUCAUCUACCCACAAAUGUUCAUGUUAUCUUAAUUUCUAAACCACAAACCCAAAUCUACAAUAUUUCUCUAAAAAAUGAAAACUUUCCAAAAAUAGCAGUUGUUAAGAAAAUUAUUUAAAAAUACAACCUAUUGAUGAAAAUUUCUGAGAAAAAUACCCAACUAUCCACAAAUAUACCAGUUGAUGAAAACCUCUGAAAGAAUAAUCAACUAUCCACAAAUAUACAACAUAUUGAUGAAAAUCUCUGAAAGAAUAAUCAACUAUCCGAAAAUAUUCAUGUUAUCUUAAUUUCUAAACCACAAACUCAAAUCUACAAUAUUUCUCUAAAAAAUGAAAACUUUCCAAAAAUAGCAGUUUUUGAGAAAAUUAUUAAAAAAUACAACCUAUUGAUGAAUAAUUCUGAAAGAAUACUCGAACAUCCACAAAUACUCUUGUUAUCUUAAUUUCUAAACCACAAACUCAAAUCUACAAUAUUUCUCUAAAAAAUGAAAACUUUCUAAAAAUAGUAGUUUUUAAGAAAAUUAUUUAAAAAUACAAAAUAUUGAUGAAAAUUUCUGGAAAAAUACUCAACUAUCCACAAAUAAUCAUGUUAUCCUAAUUUCUAAACCACAAACUCAAAUUUACAAUAUUUCUCUAAAAAAAUGCAAACUUUCCAAAAAUAGAUGUUUUUAAGAAAAUUAUUCAAAAAUACAAUAUAUUGAUGAAUAACUCUGAAAGAAUACUCAAAUAUCCACAAAUAUUCUUGUUAUCUUAUUUUCUAAACCACAAACUCAAAUCUACAAUAUUUCUUUAAAAAAUGGAAACUUUCCAAAAAUAACAGUUUUUAAGAAGAUUAUUUAAAAAUACAACAUAUCGAUGAAGAAUUCUGAAAGAAUACUCAAAUAUCAACAUAUAUUCUUGUUAUCUUAAUUUAUAAACCACAAACCCAAAUCUACAAUAUUUCUUUAAAAAAUGAAAACUUUCUAAAAAUAGCAGUUUUUAAGAAAAUUAUUUAAAAAUAUAACCUAUUGAUGAAAAUCUCUGAAAGAAUAAUCAACUAUCCGAAAAUAUUCGUGUUAUCCUAAUUUCUAAACCACAAACCCAAAUCUACAAUAUUUCUAUAAAAAAAUGAAAACUUUCCAAAAAUAGCAGUUUUUAAGAAACUUAUUUAAAAAUACAACAUAUUGAUGAAUAAUUCUGAAAGAAUACUCAAAUAUUCACAAAUAUUCUUGUUAUCUUAAUUUCUAAACCACAAAUCAAAUAUAUUUCUCUAAAAAAUGAAAACUUUCUAAAAAUAACAGUUUUUAAGAAAAUUAUUUAAAAAUACAACCUAUUGAUGAAAAUAUCUUAAAGAAUAAUCAACUAUCCACAAAUAUUCGUGUUAUCCUAUUUUCUAAAUCUUAAACUCAUUUUUAGGGAAAUAUUGUAUAUUGGGGUUUGUGGUUUAGAAAUUAAGAUAACAGAAAUAUUUGUGGAUAGUUGAGUAUUUUGUUCAGAAAUUUUCCUUAAUUUGUUGUAUUUUUAAAUGAUUUUCUUAAAACCUGCUAUUUUGGGAAAAAUAUUGUAGAUUUGAGUUUAAGAUUUAGAAAAUAGGAUUAGCACGAAUAUUUGUGGAUAGUUGAUUAUUCUUUCAGAGAUUUUCAUCAAUAGGUUGUAUUUUUAAAUAAUUUUCUUAAAAAACUGUUAUUUUUAGAAAGUUUUCAUUUUUAGAGAAAUAUAUUAGAUUUGUGGUUUAAAAAUUGAGAUAACAAGAAUAUUUGUGAAUAUUUGAGUAUUCUUUCAUAAAUUUUCAUCAAUAGUUUAUAUUUUUAAAUAGUUUUCUUAAAAACUGCUAUUUUUGGAAAGUUUUCAUUUUUUUGUAGAAAUAUUGUUGAUUCGGGUUUGUGGUUUAGAAAUCAGGAUUACACGAACAUUUUCGGAUAGUUGAUUAUUCUUUCAGAGAUUUUCAUCAAUAGGUUAUAUUUUUAAUUAAUUUUUUUAAAAACUGCUAUUUUAGAAAGUUUUCAUUUUUUAGAGAAAUAUUGUAGAUUUGAGUUUGUGGUUUAUAAAAUAAGAUAAAAAGAAUAUUUGUGGGUAUUUGAGUAUUCUUUCAGAAUUCUUCAUCAAUAUGUUGUAUUUUUAAAUAAUUUUCUUAAAAACUGUUAUGUUUGGAAAAUUUUCAUUUUUUAGAGAAAUAUUGUUGAUUUGAGUUUGUGGUUUAGAAAAUAAGAUAACAAGAAUAUUUGUGGAUAUUUGAGUAUUCUUUCAUAGUUAUUCAUCAAUAUAUUGUAUUUUUAAAUAAUUUUCUUAUAAAUUUCUAUUUUUGGAAAGUUUGCAUUUUUUUAGAGAAAUAUUGUAGAUUUGAGUUUGUGGUUUAGAAAUUAGGAUAAGACGAAUAUUUGUGGAUAGUUGAGUAUUUUUUCCAGAAAUGUUCAUCAAUAGUUUGUAUAUUUAAAUAAACUUCUUAAAAACUGCUAUUUUUAGAAAGUUUUUAUUUUUUAGAGAAAUAUUGUAGAUUUGGGUUUGUGGUCUAGAAAUUAAGAUAGCAAGAGUAUUUGUGGAUAUUUUAGUAUCCUUUCAGAAUUAUUCAUCAAUAGAUUGUAUUUUUUAAUAAUUUUCUUAAAAACUGCUAUUUUUUGAAAGUUUGCAUUUUUAUAAAGAAAUAUUAUAGAUUUGGGUUUGUGGUUUAGAAAUUAAGAUAACAGGAAUAUUUGUGGAUAGUUGGAUAUUUGUUUCAGAAAUUUUCAUCAAUAGGUUGUAUUUUUAAAUAAUUUUCUUAAAAACUGCUAUUUUUGGAAAGUUUUCAUUUUUCAGAGAAAUAUUGUAGAUUUGGGUUUGUGGUUUAGAAAUUAAGAUAACAAGAAUAUUUUUGGAUAUUUGAGUAGUCUUUCAGAGAUUUUCAUCAAUUGGUUAUAUUUUCAAAUAAUUUUCUUAAAAACUUCUAUUUUUAGAAAGUUUUCAUUUUUUAGAGAAAUAUAUUAGAUUUGUGGUUUAGAAAUUAAGAUAAUAAGAAUAUUUGAGAAUAUUUAAGUAUUCUUUCAGAUUUAUUCAUCAAUAUGUUGUAUUUUUAAAUAUUUUUCUUAAAACUGCUAUUUUUAGAAAAUUUUCAUUUUUUAGGGAAAUAUUGUAGAUUUGGGUUUGUGGUUUAGAAAUUAAGAUAACGGGACUAUUUGCGGAUAAUUAUGUUUUCAGAAAUUUUCUUCAAUAUUUUAUAUUUUAAAUAAUUUUCUUAAAAGCCGCUAUUUUUGGAAAGUUUUCAUUUUUUGAGAGAAAUAUUGUAGAUUUGAGUUUGUGGUUUAGAAAUUAAGAUAACGGGACUAUUUGCGGAUAAUUAUGUUUUCAGAAAUUUUCUUCAAUAUGUUUUAUUUUAAAUAAUUUUCUUAAAAGCCGCUAUUUUUGGAAAUUUUUUAUUUUUUCAGAAAAAUAUUAUAGAUUUGAGUUUGUGGUUUAAAAAUUCAGAUAACUGGAAUAUUUUUGGAUAUAUUAGUAUUCUUACAUAGUUUUUUAUCAAUAGGUUGAAUUUUUAAAUAUUUUUUUAAAAAACUGCUAUUUUUAGAAAAUUUUCAUUUUUUAGAGAAAUAUUGUAGAUUUGGGUUUGUGGUUUAAAAAUUAAGAAAACAAGAGUAUUUGUGGAUAUUUGAGUAUUUUUUCAUAAUUAUUUAUCAAUGUGUUGUAUUUUAAAUAAUUUUCUUUAAAACUAAUAAUUUUGGAAAGUUUGUAUUUUUAUAGAGAAAUAUUAUAGAUUUGAGUUUGUGGUUUAGAAAUUAAGAUAACAGGAAUAUUUGUGGAUAGUUGAGUAUUUUUUUCAGAUAUUUUCAUCAACAUUUUGUAUUUUAAAUAAUUUCUUUAAAAGCCGCUAUCUUUGGAAAAUUUUCGUUUUUGAAAGAAAUAUUGUAUAUUUGAGUUUAUGAUUUAGAAAUUAGGAUAAAACAAAUAUUAGUGGAUAGUUGAUUGUUCUUUCAGAGAUUUUCAUCAAUAGGUUGUAUUUUAAAAUAAUUUUCUUAAAAAAUGCCAUUUUUAGAAAGUUUUCAUUUUUUAGAGAAAUAUUGUAGAUCUGGGUUUGUGGUUUAGAAAUUAAGAUAACAAGAAUAUUUGUGGAUACUUGAGUAUUCUUUCAGAAUUAUUCAUCACUUUGUUGUAUUUUUAAAUAAUUUUCUUAAAAAUUGCUAUUUUUGCAAAGUUUUCCUUUUUUUAGAGAAAUAUUGUAGAUUUGGGUUUGUGGUUUAGAAAUUAAGAUAACAAGAAUAUUUGUGGAUAUUUGAGUAUUCUUUCAGAACUAUUCUUCAAUAUGAUAUAAUUUUAAGCAAUUUUCUUUAAAACUGCUAUUUCUAAAAAGUUUUCAUUUUUUAGAGAAAUAUUGAAAAUUUGGGUUUAUGGUUUAGAAAUUAAGAUAACAAGAAUAUUUGGGGAUAUUUGAGUAUUCUUUCAUAUCUAUUCAUCAAUAUAUUGUAUUUUAAAAUAAUUUUCUGAAAAGCUGUUAUUUUUAGAAAGUUUUCAUUUUAGAGAAAUAUUGUAGAUUUGAGUUUAUGAUUUAGAAAUUAGGAUAACACGAAUAUUUGUGGAUAGUUGAUUAUUGUUGCAGAGAUUUUCAUCAAUAGGUUGUUUUUUCAAAUAAUUUUCUUAAAAACUGCUAUUUUUAGAAAGUUUUCAUUUUUUAGAGAAAUAUAUUAGAUUUGUGGUUUAGAAAUUCGGACAACACGAAUAUUUUCGGGUAGUUGAUAAUUAUUUCAUAGAUUUUCAUCAAUAGGUUGUAGUUUUUAAUAAUUUUCUUAAAAACUGAUAUUUUUAGAAAGCUUUCAUUUUUUAGAGAAAUAUUGUAGAUUUGAGUUUGUGGAUUAAAAAUUAAGAAAACAAGAGUAUUUGUCGAUAUUUGAGUAUUUUUCAUAAUUAUUUAUCAAUGUGUUGUAUUUUAAAUAAUUUUCCUAAAAACUAAUAAUUUUGGAAAGUUUGUAUUUUUAUAGAGAAAUUAAGAUAACAUGAAUAUUUGAGGAUAGUUGUGUAUUUUUUUCAGAUAUUUUCAUCAACAGUUUGUAUUUUAAAUAAUUUCUUUAAAAGCCGCUAUCUUUGGAAAGUUUUCGUUUUUGAAAGAAAUAUUGUAGAUUUGAGUUUGUGGUUUGGAAAUUAAAAUAACAGGACUAUUUGUGGAUUGUUAUUUUUUUCAGAAAUUUUCUUCAAUAUGUUAUAUUUUAAAUAAUUUUCUUAAAAGCCACUAUUUUUGGAAAAUUUUCAUUUUUCAGAAAAAUAUUAUAGAUUUGAGUUUGUGGUUUAGAAAUUCAGAUAACUGGCGUAUUUGUGGAUAUUUGAGUAUUCUUUCAUAAUUUUCUUAAAAACUAAUAAUUUUGGAAAGUUUGCAUUUUUAUAGAGAAAUAUUAUAGAUCUGAGUUUGUGGUUUAGAAAUUAAGAUAACAGGAAUAUUUGUGGAUAGUUGAGUAUUUUUUUCAGAUAUUUUCAUCAACAGUUUGUAUUUUAAAUAAUUUUUUUAAAAGCCGCUAUCUUUAGAAAGCUUUCAUUUUUGAAAGAAAUAUUGUAUAUUUGAGUUUAUGAUUUAGAAAUUAGGAUAACACGAAUAUUUGUGGAUAGUUGAUUUUUGCUUUCAGAGAUUUUCCUCAAUAGGUGUAUUUUUAAAUAAUUUUCUUAAAAACUCCCGUUUUUAGAAAGGUUUCAUUAUUUAGAGAAAUAUUGUAGAUCUGGAUUUGUAGUUUAGAAAUUAAGAUAACAAGAAGAUUUGUGGAUAGUUGAUUUUUUCUUUCAGAGAUUUUUCUCAAUAUGUUGUAUUUUUAAAUAAUUUUCUUAAAAACUGCCAUUUUUAGAAAAUUUUCAUUUUUUAG
rnacentral:lncRNA from 1 species